rnacentral:rRNA from 1 species
ACGAUGAUCCUCAGCUUGCUGGGGGGAUUAGUGGCGAACGGGUGAGUAACACGUGAGUAACCUGCCCUUGACUCUGGGAUAAGCCUGGGAAACUGGGUCUAAUACUGGAUAUGACCUUCCAUCGCAUGGUGGUUGGUGGAAAGCUUUUGUGGUUUUGGAUGGACUCGCGGCCUAUCAGCUUGUUGGUGGGGUAAUGGCCUACCAAGGCGACGACGGGUAGCCGGCCUGAGAGGGUGGACGGCCACACUGGGACUGAGACACGGCCCAGACUCCUACGGGAGGCAGCAGUGGGGAAUAUUGCACAAUGGGCGCAAGCCUGAUGCAGCGACGCCGCGUGAGGGAUGAAGGCCUUCGGGUUGUAAACCUCUUUCAGUAGGGAAGAAGCGUAAGUGACGGUACCUGCAGAAGAAGCGCCGGCUAACUACGUGCCAGCAGCCGCGGUAAUACGUAGGGCGCAAGCGUUAUCCGGAAUUAUUGGGCGUAAAGAGCUCGUAGGCGGUUUGUCGCGUCUGCCGUGAAAGUCCGGGGCUUAACUCCGGAUCUGCGGUGGGUACGGGCAGACUUGAGUGAUGUAGGGGAGACUGGAAUUCCUGGUGUAGCGGUGAAAUGCGCAGAUAUCAGGAGGAACACCGAUGGCGAAGGCAGGUCUCUGGGCAUUAACUGACGCUGAGGAGCG